rnacentral:rRNA from 1 species
UACAGAGGUCUCAAGCGUUGUUCGGAUUCAUUGGGCGUAAAGGGUGCGCAGGCGGCGCGGUAAGUCGGAUGUGAAAUCUCGGAGCUUAACUUCGAAACUGCAUUCGAUACUGCCGUGCUUGAGGACUGGAGAGGAGACUGGAAUUUACGGUGUAGCGGUGAAAUGCGCAGAUAUCAGGAGGAACACCGGUGGCGAAGGCGGUGGUCUGGGCCGGUACUGACGCUGAGGAGCGAAAGCGUGGGGAGCGAACAGG